rnacentral:rRNA from 1 species
CUACGGGGCGCACCAGGCGAGAAAACUUUGCAAUGUGCGAAAGCACGACAAGGUUAAUCCGAGUGGUUUCUGCUAAAGGAACCUUUUGUUAGUCCUAGAAACACUGAUGAAUAAGGGGUGGGCAAGUUCUGGUGUCAGCCGCCGCGGUAAAACCAGCACCUCAAGUGGUCAGGAUGAUUAUUGGGCCUAAAGCAUCCGUAGCCGGCUUUGUAAGUUUUCGGUUAAAUCCAUACGCUCAACGUAUGGGCUGCCGGGAAUACUGCAAAGCUAGGGAGUGGGAGAGGUAGACGGUACUCGGUAGGAAGGGGUAAAAUCCUUUGAUCUAUUGAUGACCACCUGUGGCGAAGGCGGUCUACCAGAACACGUCCGACGGUGAGGGAUGAAAGCUGGGGGAGCAAACCGGAUUAGAUACCCGGGUAGUC